AGUCGCUGUAGCUGUUGACAUUUAAGAUCUGCACACCUGCUAAUCUGCCUUCCACUUCGGGAUUCUGUCCCACAGAAACGAAAGCACCUGCGCCUUAAGCCCCCACCUUACUUGUCUCCUGAGAAACCUGUGUGCAGGUCAAGAAGCAACAUUUAGAACCCAACAAGGAACAAUAGACUGGUUCAAAAUUAGGAAAAGAGUAUGUCAAGGCUUAUAUUGUCACCCUGCUUAUUUAGCUGAUACAAAGAAUGCAUCAUGUGAAAUGCCACGCUGGAUGAAUCACAAGUUGGAAUCAAGACUGCCGGGAGAAAUAUCAACAACCUCAAAUAGGCAGAUGAUACCACUCUAAUGGCAGAAAGUGAAGAGGGACUAAAGAGCUUGUUGAUGGGGGUGAGAGUGAAAAAAAAAACAAAAACUGGCUUAAAACCCAACAUUCAAAAAACUAAGAUCAUGGCAUCUGGUCCCAUCACUUCGUGGUGAAUAGAUGGGAAAAAAGUAGAAACAGUGACAGAUUUUUACUUUCUUGGGCUCCAAAAAUCAUCAUCUCUGAGGAUGGUGAUUGUUUGUCAUGAAAUUAAAAGACACUUGCUCCUUAGAAGAAAACUAUGACAAAUCUAAGCAGCAUAUUAAAAAGCAGAGAUAUCACUUGGUCAACAAAGAUCCAUUUGGUCGAAGCUAUGGUUUCUCCAGUAGUCAUGUGUGGAUGUGAGAAUUGGACCAUAAAGAAAGCUGAGUGCUGAAGAAUUGAUUCUUUCAAACUAUGGUAUUGGAGAAGACUCUUGAGAGUCCCUUGGACAGCAAAGAGAUCAAACCAGUCAAUCCUAAAGGAAAUUAACCCUGAAUAUUCUUUGGAAGGACUGAUGCUGAAGCUCUAGUACUUUGGCCACCUGAUAUGAAGAGCCGACUCAUUGGAAAAGACCCUGAUGCUAGGAAAGAUUAAGGGCAGGAAGAGAAGGGGAUGGUAGAGGAUAAGAUGGUUGGAUGGCAUCACUGACUUGGACAUGAGUUUGAGCAAACCCCGGGAGAUAGUAAAGGAUAGGGAACCCUGGCCUGCUGCAGUCCAUGAGGUCGCAAAGAGUCAACACGACUUAGCCACUGAACAACAACAGAGUUUAUAUAUAUUCUGAGUCCUCCCAAUUCUUUGGAGCAGUUCCUCAGAGCUAUCUGAGAGGCUCUCUCUCUGGCUACAGUCCUCAGUGAGGACUUAACCCUAUAAAACCUAACACAGCAUUUAUGUUGUGCAUUUUUAUUUCAGACAACAAACUGUAAACAAGUUUUGCCUCAUUUUGCAAGUAUAAC
ensembl:lncRNA